AGGUGUUGUCAGAACUCAGCCACUCGGAGUUAGUGUGCCAUAGACUACAUAUAUUGGUAACUCACAAGCUGCAAAAUGGUAAGGUAUUUCUUCCACCACAGGUACUUAGCUACUGCUGGGCCCAGGGCAGAAAGCCCAUAAUAUGUGUACAUCAGUACAUGGAUGAAGCUAUUAGCCAUUGCUGGAAGGAAGGCUGAAAAACAAGGAUACAUACCUUAAAUACUAAUCCAAGGCCUCCUGUCGGAUAGACUGGUCACCUGAUGCAAGUCUUUUGAGUUGACGCCACUUUGGGACUUGUGCAUCAAUGGGGAUGAGAUGAUGAUGAUGAUGAAGACAACACAACACCCAGUACCUGAGUGGAGAAAAUCUCUGACCCAGCCGGGAAUCGAAGCCUGGCUCCUUGGCAUGACAGCCCAUCGCACUGACCACUCAGCUAUCGAGGUGGACAAAUUUUCAUAUAAAGACAUCAAUUCUGAAAAAUUAUAUUCACUGGAAAGGUGCUUAUAUUUAUUGAUAUUCUAAUUCUUGUGGACAAAUGUUAAAGCCCAACAUAAAUAAAAAAAGUAUUAAAUUAAGGUAAGUGUGGGAAUUUUUAGACUUCUGUAAGCAGUUGCUGCCUGUUGGCUUCUGUCUUGGGUUCUUCAGGCAACAUUUGUUUGACAAUAGUUCUUAUGUUUCACCAACAAGAGUGACCGGCAUUGUCAAAGCUUCACCCUCCAUCCACAUCUAGUAAUGACGAUGCUAGGUUCUUGUGCUGGUGAAAUGUUAGAAAUAUUCUCAAGAAAACAUUGUCCAAAGAACCCAAGAAAGUCAGCAGGCAAUGUAUAAAUGUGUAAAGUUUGGCAAUUUCAUCAAAAAAUAAGAAUGUUAGGUGAAAACACUAUAGCAACUGUGCUUGAGUAAAUUGUCUAGCAAGUCUUAAAG